rnacentral:lncRNA from 1 species
AUCCUUAAUUUAUUAUAUAAUUUAUAAAUCUAAAGGAUUUAAAAUACACCAAAAUAGAAACUAAACUAAAACCUAAAACAAAUAAAAAGGAAUAUUAAUUAAUGUCUUCAUUUACUAUUUUCCUUUAAGAGGUCUCUCGACAAAUUAUCAAAGUUUUUGUACCAACACAAACCUGUUUUGUCCAUCCAUAAUUUCACACGUAAAGAGUAACAUAACCAUACAAGCAAUGCUAACUUCAUAUCCUCAUUACACCAUUUCCAUCCACUAAUAAUAUAAAAAUAAACAUCAUUACUAAAACCUAAAGAAACUAUCAUUAAAUUAAAUAUUAAUAAUAAUAAAUACGCAAAAAAGAAGCUCCAUCAAAAAAUAGGGAAAUAUAUAUGUGUACACUUUUCUUUAAUAUAUAUACAUAUAUAAACGUUCAUUUUUAAAUUUGCCCGAAAUAUAAUUAUGUAAUUCAAGUUAUAUAUAUUUGCCACUACUAAUGUACAAAACAAACCUGUCUUUCCCAAUAAUGAUCAAAAUUCAAAAACAUUGCCAUAUCACAUGUUAUGCUAAUUUAGGAACAAAGUAAUUAAAAUAAGCUUAUAAGGAGUACCAAUUAAUACAAACAUCAUGUAGCACUACAUAAUACUCAUAAUGACUACUUUUACAAAACAUUUCUAACUCAGAACCAAACCCUAAUCAAGAUUGGGUUGUCCAUGCAGAGUUUGAAACAAAUAAAUUAUACAAAUUAGAAAAAGUAUAGAAAUAAUCUGUAAAUCCAUAUUUACAGGUUUGAAAAUGUUAACGUUCCAUCCAAUCCUACACUUAAUUUAUCUAUUUUCAACCAAAUGUAAUUUAGUCUAUUUCAUCAUGUAUUUUCUAAGUAAUUUCUAGUUUAAACUUCGCAUUUAGGUUAUUCCAUUAAUUUCUAGUUCAUAAAUUCAUUGGAGAUGGAGGUUGCUUAAACAAAAAAAAUCAAGCUGUCAAUCAUGCAUGCAUAUCAAGGCUAAUCUUAUAAAUUAGUUAGUUUCUUUUAAAAUAAAGAUAUUACAUUAAGAAAUGAAAAUUAAUAUUACAAAAUUCGACAACAAACAUCUUACGAUUAUGAACCUAAUAAGGUACGCAGUAAAAAUUAAAAUGCAUGAACAAAUUAUAAGAGUUUUGAAAACUAAGAACAGCUAGAGAAAAACUCUUAAAAAUACAUACAACAUCAACAACAAUUCACAGACAUGCAGUGAAUUAGGAAAUAAAAGACUCAAGAGGCCUGAGAAACAGGAAGUUGCAGUGUCCACAGUGCCAUGUUUAUAGGGAUGAAAAGUUUAAUUGUCACUUAUAAAAACUUACUUCAAUUCUUGGAGUGACGAGAAGCCGGAAAAUUUCCAGCAAGGAUGAAAAUUCUGUAGACAGGUGCAAACGUUUGAACUUGAUAAAUAAAUCUACGAGUAAGCUGAGGAGAAAGAUGUCAGUCAUCAAAAUCUCCAUCAAGAAGGUUUCCACAUUGAACAAAGAAUAGAAUCCCAAAAACAAACUUAGCAUCCAAGACCAUUGGCAGCUUGGAUGAAUUAAUUUACUUAGGAACUGAAUAGGAAAUUAUGAACCAAAUGGGUAGCAAGUAUAUGUUCCAAAAUAUAUGUCCCAAAGAUAUAUCAAAACCCUAAUUACUGUUUCGCAUUGCUUGCAUCCGACGAAAAUUCCUUUGAUACCUAUGGUUAAAGAAAAUAUUCCACAAUCAACAGAUAUGCAUGUAUGACUCGUAGUAUUAAAGAACCAAAAUAGAAAGGAGCAGGCAGUAGACAAAAAAAAAAAAAGCAAAAAGAUAAGCAGAUAUAGAUGUGAUUCCAAUUUCAUAUGACAUAGUUACUUGUUUCUCUGCGUGUGUGUAUAUAUAUGGGCUAUUUGAACCGAGCCUUGAAGAAGAGAUAAUAUCCUGUUUGGCUUCUGGUUCCUAUCUGUAUAGCAUGUAAGUUCGUAUUCCGGAGGUUGGGGUCAGAGAUGUUUUCUAUUCGAACGAAAAGUGUGAGACCUUUGCCCAAAGGAAGUGUGAGCCGUAAGUUUCUAAUUCGUCGGAGGAAGAAAAGAAACAAAGAAAUGAAGCCAGCGACCAUUUCCGGAAUAAAGGGAGCUUCCGGCAACCUCAGAGAAGUCUUCAAGAUCUUCCAAUGACCUCCUCCUCUCUCCCGCCAACUCAAAAGGAUGAAACACAACCGCUGGUUAUGCUCAAAUAUUUCCUCCACCUGAAAUACCAGUUCUCCGUACCUAACAACAGGAAGAAUCAGCUUCAAGCUUUCAGUACGAUUUAGAACAUGGAAGACGGAGAAAACAAGGCCUAGGAUUUUGCUGGAGAAAGGGUAAAACAUCGUAAGGUUAUCCAUCUCAGAUAUUGAUAAUUAAGGGUUUUCUUUUGGAAAGCUAGAGAGGGAGAUGUCUCUAGUAGGACAUGAUAGGGUUUUGCCGCAAGAAGCGCUGCGUUUAUAAUUACGUUACAAGAAAGCAUUGUAAGAGAGAGGAAAAACGAUCAAUCUCUAUUUUCUGGCCGAACAGACGAAGUUCUUAAUUCAAGCCGGCCCAAGACAAGUUAAUUGAACGUACUGCUACUGGUCUCUUAUGAAAUAGAAGCUUUUUAAUAAUUUCUGUUAUGGGCUCCAAAAAAAGGCUUUCUGGAUAUUAGCGGCCGAAUUAACUCUAAUUAUUGUUACUUUUUAUGGCUGUAACUUUGUUUCUGACUCAUUAGUUUUAAGCUUUUACUUGUGGGUUGAAUAUGUAAAAUGACAAUUAAGUACCUGAAUUUCCAAAUGGCUGACUUCGUCAAACUCCAGGCCUCCCGGAUCUUCAACCCCAUACCCCAACCUGCCACAUCCUUUGACUUCUGAUGCUUACAACUUUGUAGAAACAAUAAGAACUACGGUUAGGAGACCAGAAACCCAGACACAAAAGGUCUGGUUCCAUUCAAAAUGAAGUAAUUUUCCUCUUCUAACUAUGUGUUUUUCAAUUUUUCUGUAAACAGACUUUAAUUUACUUCUCUAAAAGAUUAAUGAACUUUAUAUUAGUUUUCAACAUCUGCUAAAAACCAAUUCUAGAACAUAAGAAAUACAAGGCAUGAAUCCUAAAUCGAAGGGCUAACAAUUUGACAGAUAAAGCUGCUAGCUUUUGUUAAAAUUAAGCUAAUAACUAUAGAAAUGAUGAUAAUUAUACCUCAAGGUUGAGAUCCAUCUUCAACUUUAAAAUCAUUGAGGAAAUUAUCUUCUUGUACGCUGCCUUCAUACGCAUACGUCGUUCUUCCUAAGAAGUGAGAUGCCUUUCACAGAUGUGCAAAUGGAGCAUUUCCGCCAAAGUUGUAUACUCAGUUUAAUAGAUCAUUACUUGCAUAAUUGAACAAAUUGCAUUAUUGGGUUCGUU